GACGUAGGGCGCGAGCGUUGUCCGGAUUUAUUGGGCGUAAAGAGCUCGUAGGCGGCCUGUUGCGUCCGCUGUGAAAGCCCGGGGCUUAACCCCGGGUCGGCAGUGGAUACGGGCAGGCUAGAGGUAGGUAGGGGAGAAUGGAAUUCCCGGUGUAGCGGUGAAAUGCGCAGAUAUCAGGAGGAACACCGAUGGCGAAGGCAGGUCUCUGGGCAUUAACUGACGCUGAGGAGCGAAAGCAUGGGGAGCGAACAGG
rnacentral:rRNA from 1 species